UAGGGAAUCUUCGGCAAUGGACGAAAGUCUGACCGAGCAACGCCGCGUGAGUGAAGAAGGUUUUCGGAUCGUAAAACUCUGUUGUUAGAGAAGAACAAGGACGUUAGUAACUGAACGUCCCCUGACGGUAUCUAACCAGAAAGCCACGGCUAACUACGUGCCAGCAGCCGCGGUACUACGUAGGUGGCAAGCGUUGUCCGGAUUUAUUGGGCGUAAAGCGAGCGCAGGCGGUUUCUUAAGUCUGAUGUGAAAGCCCCCGGCUCAACCGGGGAGGGUCAUUGGAAACUGGGAGACUUGAGUGCAGAAGAGGAGAGUGGAAUUCCAUGUGUAGCGGUGAAAUGCGUAGAUAUAUGGAGGAACACCAGUGGCGAAGGCGGCUCUCUGGUCUGUAACUGACGCUGAGGCUCGAAAGCGUGGGGAGCAAACA
rnacentral:rRNA from 1 species